GAUGAACGCUGGCGGCGUGCUUAACACAUGCAAGUCGAACGAGAAGUGAAGACGGAAACCUUCGGGCGGAAGGCUUUAUUUCGAGUGGCGGACGGGUGAGUAACGCGUGGGUAACCUGCCUCAUACAGGGGGAUAACAGUUGGAAACGACUGUUAAUACCGCAUAAGACCACAGCACCGCAUGGUGCGGGGGUAAAAACUCCGGUGGUAUGAGAUGGACCCGCGUUCGAUUAGCCAGUUGGCGGGGUAACGGCCCACCAAAGCGACGAUCGAUAGCCGAUCUGAGAGGAUGACCGGCCACAUUGGGACUGAGACACGGCCCAAACUCCUACGGGAGGCAGCAGUGGGGAAUAUUGCACAAUGGGGGAAACCCUGAUGCAGCGACGCCGCGUGAGUGAAGAAGUAUCUCGGUAUGUAAAGCUCUAUCAGCAGGGAAGAAAAUGACGGUACCUGAGGAAGAAGCCCCGGCUAACUACGUG
rnacentral:rRNA from 1 species